GACGAAUGCUGGCGGCGUGCUUAACACAUGCAAGUCGAACGGAAAGGCCCUGCUUGCAGGGUACUCGAGUGGCGAACGGGUGAGUAACACGUGGGUGAUCUGCCCUGCACUUCGGGAUAAGCCUGGGAAACUGGGUCUAAUACCGGAUAGGAGCCAUUUUUAGUGCGAUGGUUGGAAAGUUUUUUCGGUGUAGGAUGAGCUCGCGGCCUAUCAGCUUGUUGGUGGGGUAAUGGCCUACCAAGGCGGCGACGGGUAGCCGGCCUGAGAGGGUGGACGGCCACAUUGGGACUGAGAUACGGCCCAGACUCCUACGGGAGGCAGCAGUGGGGAAUAUGGCGCAAUGGGCGCAAGCCUGAUAAAGCGACGCCGCGUGGGGGAUAACGGCCUUCGGGUUAUAAACUCCUUUCGCUAGGGACGAAGCUUUUGUGACGGUACCUAGAUAAGAAGCCACGGCUAACUACGUG
rnacentral:rRNA from 1 species